rnacentral:rRNA from 1 species
UACGUAGGGGGGCUAGCGUUAUCCGGAAUCACUGGGCGUAAAGCGUCUGUAGGUGGUUUAAAAAGUCUACUGUUAAAAAUUGAAGCUUAACUUCAAAGAUGCCGUAGAAACUUUUAAACUCGAGGAUGGUAGGGGUAGAGGGAAUUUCCAGUGGAGCGGUGAAAUGCGUAGAUCUUGGAAAGACCACCAAUGGCGAAGGCACUCUACUGGGCCAUUACUGACACUAAGAGACGAAAGCUAGGGGAGCAAAUGGG